UUGAAUUAAUAUUACUUUGCAGAACAUGUUAGAACCUUUUAAACUUGUCUUUACAUAAACAUCUUUUGGACCGUUAGCUUUGAACACCUCGUGUUGAAAACCAACAUCUAAAAUGUUAUUUUGUACUUUAGAUCUGGAAAAUCGGAUUGCCGGUUAAUUAUAUAAAAAUGCUUAAUUGUUGUUAAUUUGAUUACUCGGUCGUGACAACGCGGGACCUGGCAGUGUAACUGAACUCAUCUAUAGUUAGCAUGCGUCAUAAAAUUUGAAAGGAGGGAAGGAGGGAAGGAAAGGAAAAAAACGUGAUAUGGAAGGCAAAAAAAUCGAGAAGAAAAAAACGGGACAUGGGGGGAAAAAACUGUCUUAAACCGAGGGCGCAAGUUUUGACUGAAUACACCGUCAAACUGUAACCACCGCGAUAAUACUAAAGUAACAUCUGAAUGUCGCCAGCGCGUGCACUGCGCGUGCAUCUUUUAAAAGACAGCGUUGAAGUGUAUCUUACUGAAUAUUACAGAUUAAAGCUGCAUUUUAGUUUUAAAGAAGUAGUUCACCAAACAUUUUUCAUAUGACUUGCAUGAUGAUUAGAUUUUUUCAAUAGUUAAUACCAAUAGUAUUGUUCACUGUUAAAGUUGUGGAUUAAUUAAUUUUAUUGGUAAUAUUUAAUGCAUUGAAAGUUACUUUGCCUUUACCCUAAGUAAUUCAGUAAUUUUUUUCUUUUUAGGUUUCCUGUUGAUUGCCUUCUGCCAUGCAGUGGAAUUGAAAAAAGAAGGAAACCAAGGAAGAAUGCUUGAUGAAUUUCUGCAUCAAGUUGAUUUAAAGUCAUCUGAUGUAACUUAUGUGCGCACCACAGUACUUCAUGGCCUUCCAAUCCUCCUGGGGGAUUAUUCUGUGGAAUUUUCACGACAUUCUUUGAUUCAGAUGUGAAUGUAGACCUGAGUGCAUUUGAUGUUGGCCUGCUCACAGUUUUACCAGAAGACAUGCCUGCCCAAACUCCACAUGCCCUCAAUGUCGACUCAUUAAAGGCAAUCAUUCUCGAGGGAAACAUUGUGGUGGGUGAUGUCCCAAACUUGCCACAUGAGGUGUUUUUCUGCAUGUUGCCUUUUUUUGAAAAAGUGCUGUUUUUGCAGUUAUUUGAUGUCAAGUGGCAGUUAUUGAUUAGUCAA